CAACUAUGAUGAGCUUUCACUUCAGGUCCGUGUUUUUGAAUCAGUGUGAUAUUUAUCGAAGUUCUGAGAUU